UCGGGUUGUAAAGCACUUUUGUCCGGAAAGAAAACUUCCUGGUUAAUACCUGGGGAGGAUGACGGUACCGGAAGAAUAAGCACCGGCUAACUACGUGCCAGCAGCGCGGUAAUCGUAGGGUGCGAGCGUUAAUCGGAAUUACUGGGCGUAAAGCGUGCGCAGGCGGUUCGUUAAGACAGAUGUGAAAUCCCCGGGCUUAACCUGGGAACUGCAUUUGUGACUGGCGAGCUAGAGUAUGGCAGAGGGGGGUAGAAUUCCACGUGUAGCAGUGAAAUGCGUAGAGAUGUGGAGGAAUACCGAUGGCGAAGGCAGCCCCCUGGGCCAAUACUGACGCUCAUGCACGAAAGCGUGGGGAGCAAACAGGAUUAGAUACCCUGGUAGUCCACGCCCUAAACGAUGUCAACUAGUUGUUGGGGAUUCAUUUCCUUAGUAACGUAGCUAACGCGUGAAGUUGACCGCCUGGGGAGUACGGUCGCAAGAUUAAAACUCAAAGGAAUUGACGGGGACCCGCACAAGCGGUGGAUGAUGUGGAUUAAUUCGAUGCAACGCGAAAAACCUUACCUACCCUUGACAUGGUCGGAACCCUGCUG
rnacentral:rRNA from 1 species